GACGAACGCUGGCGGCGUGCUUAACACAUGCAAGUCGAACGGAAAGGCCCUGCUUUUGUGGGGUGCUCGAGUGGCGAACGGGGGAGUAACACGUGAGUAACCUGCCCUUGACUUUGGGAUAACUUCAGGAAACUGGGGCUAAUACCGGAUAGGAGCUCCUGCUGCAUGGUGGGGGUUGGAGAGUUUCGGCGGUUGGGGAUGGACUCGCGGCUUAUCAGCUUGUUGGUGGGGUAGUGGCUUACCAAGGCUGUGACGGGUAGCCGGCCUGAGAGGGUGACCGGCCACAUGGGGACUGCGAUACGGCCCAGACGCCUACGGGAGGCAGCAGUGGGGAAUAUUGCACAAUGGGCGGAAGCCUGAUGCAGCAACGCCGCGUGCGGGAUGACGGCCUUCGGGUUGUAAACCGCUUUCGCCUGUGACGAAGCGUGAGUGACGGUAAUGGGUAAAGAAGCACCGGCUAACUACGUG
rnacentral:rRNA from 1 species